AGCGAACGCUGGCGGCGUGCUUAACACAUGCAAGUCGAGCGAGAAAGGGGGCUUCGGCCCCUGAGUACAGCGGCGAACGGGUGCGUAAUACAUGAGCAAUCUACCCUUGAGGCGGGAAUAACCCAGCGAAAGUUGGGCUAAUACCGGAUAAGACCACAAGAGGAGACCCUAGAGGCUAAAGGCAGCUCUCUUUUGGGGGCGGCCCUUUGAGGAGGAGCUCAUGUCCUAUCAGCUAGUUGGUAGGGUAACGGCCUACCAAGGCGAAGACGGGUAGCUGGUCUUAGAGGAUGAUCAGCCACACGGGGACUGAGACACGGCCCCGACUCCUACGGGAGGCAGCAGUGGGGAAUAUUGGGACAAUGGGGGAAACCCUGACCCAGCGACGCCGCGUGGGUGAUGAAGGCCU
rnacentral:rRNA from 1 species